AAACUGAGUAGUAUUAAAUAGUACGGAUCACUUACAAUGAUCAAGUCCAAUAGAAAAUUUAUGGCUUAGUUUU
rnacentral:tRNA from 1 species